rnacentral:rRNA from 1 species
AUGAAUGACAGCAACAUGAUCAAACGAGCGGAACGCCCAGGCUUUUGCUUGAUAGGAAGUAAAGUGGUUGUGCUAGUGAAUCGCUACAUCACAUAUUUUUGCCCAGAAACAAUUAUCAAUAUGUACAAGUUUUCUGUGACUCCCGAGACAAAAUCAAAAGCUAUUAAAGGAGCAUUAGUAGAAGAACUCACGAAAACGAGUCUUGGAAAUAAAGUGAUUGCUUUUGAUGGCAUGCAUAUCUACACAAUCACUCUUUUCCCAUCUGAGUAUGAAAAAGAGUAUGUCAUCGAACUGAAUGAAGGUGCUAGUGAGGAUGCGUCGAGGAGUGUUAGUUAUAGUGUCACAAUUCAUUUGGCUAAGUCACUGAAAAUGCAAGAGUUGAAGGACUAUUACAAUGGAGAACAAAGUUAUGUUUCUCAGGAUAUUUUACAUGCAAUUAAUGUUGUCUUGAGAGCAUUAUCUUCAAGCUGUCUCAAUGCUCCAAGGGCAAUGUUUUCAAUUAAGUUUGGUCCUAUAAUAGACAUUAAAGAGGGGCUCGAGCUUUGGCAGGGGUGCUACAAGGGAGUUUGCUUGUCACAUUAUGGUCUUGAUUUGACCAUAGAUACAACUGUAGCACCUUUUUAUAAAUCAAUUUCCAUGGUCAAGUUUGUGGGUGAAUUUUUGGGCCGAACUGACUUCAACCGGGCUUUCUCUCAUAAAGAGUAUGCAAAGAUAGAAAGAGCUUUGAAAGGGGUCCAAGUUGAAACUAUCCAUCAUACUGAUAGAACUAUGAAGUACAGAAUUAAAGGGCUUAGUGUUGUCCCUUUGAAAGAGCUCAUGUUUUCUGUAGAUGAUGAUGGUAUCAUGACCACCGUUGUUGAUUAUUAUCAGAGUCGGUAUAAUUGCAAAUUGGAAUAUAUUCACUGGCCAAGUCUGCAGUGCGGUGUCUCUGGCCGUCAGAUUUAUUUACCCAUGGAGGUUUGCAAGCUUGUGCAAGGGCAGAGAUACCGGCAAAAGCUUAGUACCACACAAGCAGCGAAGUUGCUGAAAAUAACCUGCAAACGUCCUCAGAAUAGGCUGAACGGAAUAUUAAAGGCUGCGAGAGGUAAUUUUGAUGUUGAAGAGCUUACAGAGGGGGAGUUCUCGGCCAGUGGAUUUCCUAAAGUGCUUUAUGGAUCUGUUCUAUCCGCCCCUUUGUUGAAAUAUGGCAAUGAAGAAAUUUUUAUGCCCAUUGGUGGACAAUGGAAUAUGGCUAACAAGAAAAUAAUUGAUGGAGGAAAGGUGGAACGCUGGGCUUGCUUGAACUUUUCUAAAGUACCAGCUUUGGAGGUGGAUAAUUUUUGUAGUGAAUUGAUUAACAUGUGUAACAAAAUUGGGAUGGUAUUUGAAGGAAAGCCAUUGGCAGUCCAGCAAUCAAGCAAUUUUAUGGACAUACAAUCCGCCUUGGAGUCUCUUUUGAGUUAUAUUUCGGAACUAUUCACUGAUGAGGGCAAUUGCCAGCGGCUCCAAUUGCUUAUUGUAGUUUUGCCAGAAGAAAAAGGGCACUAUGGUACUAUUAAGCGCAUUUGCGAGACACAACUUGGAAUAGUAUCUCAAUGUUGCUUACCAAAGUAUGUGAAAGCAAAAGUAAAUGUGGAAUACCUUGAAAAUGUUGCACUUAAAAUUAAUGUGAAGGCCGGAGGACGGAAUGCAAUUCUCCAGGAAGGAUUGCCAUUCUUGUCAGAUAUUCCAACAAUUAUUUUUGGUGCUGAUGUCAGCCAUCCCCCACCAGGAGUGUACUCAUCUUCUGUUUCGGCGGUUGUUGCAUCGAUGGACUGGCCUGAAGUUGCAACGUAUAGAUGUGUAAUCUCCGCCCAACAGCCAAAGCAGGAGAUUAUAACAAAUCUAUUUCAGGUUACUCAAGAUUCAAAUGGGUGUGUAAAAACUGAUAGCAUGAUAAAGGAGCUUUUGUUGAAUUUCUACCAGAAGAAUCGUCGUAAGCCUGAACGCAUCAUUUUCUACAGAGAUGGAGUAAGCGAAAGCCAGUUCAGCCCAGUUCUGCUUCAUGAAGUAGAUGCUAUCCGAAAGGCAUGUAUCUCUUUGGAUGAGCAUUAUGUUCCACCAAUUACGUUUCUGGUUGUCCAAAAAAGACACCAGACAAGGCUCUUUCCUAUGCCGACCACCAGGAAACCUGAACCCAAAGGAAUCAGGAAACCUGAGCCCAAAGGAAUCCUCCCUGGAACCGUUGUCGACUAUGGAAUCUGCGACCCUUGUGGGUUUGAUUUUUACCUAACUAGCCAUGCUUCUGAGGGGAGCUGUAGACCCACGCACUACCAUGUGCUGUUCGAUGAGAACCGCUUUACCGCUGGUGCCCUCCAGUCCAUCACAUAUAAUCUGUGCUACACUUAUGCUCGCUGUACACGUUCUGUAUCUAUAGUUCCGCCGGUGUACUACGCGCAUCUUGCUGCGUCACGGGGGCGGAGCUACCAGGGCAAUUUUGGUGAUGGUUCAAGCAUAAGGGAAACAACACCAGGUGACGAACUACCUGAGUUCCUACAAGUCCCAAAGAUCCACGAGAAUGUGUCGGAGGUCAUGUUUUACUGCUGA